CAGUCGCCGCGGUAACACGUAGGUGGCAAGCGUUGUCCGGAAUUAUUGGGCGUAAAGCGCGCGCAGGUGGUUUAAUAAGUCUGAUGUGAAAGCCCGCGGCUCAACCGUGGAGGGUCAUUGGAAACUGUUAAACUUGAGUGCAGGAGAGAAAAGUGGAAUUCCUAGUGUAGCGGUGAAAUGCGUAGAGAUUAGGAGGAACACCAGUGGCGAAGGCGGCUUUUUGGCCUGUAACUGACACUGAGGCGCGAAAGCGUGGGGAGCAAACAGGAUUAGAUACCCCCGUAGUCCCUGUCUCUUAUAC
rnacentral:rRNA from 1 species